CCUGGCUUCCCUGGACGGGAAGACACUUUAAGUGUCUUUCCUGCCCAGGGUGCGUUUGGUCAGGGUGUUCAUCAUAGCAACAGAAACCCCGAAACAACAAACGGAUAAGGAGUCCUGUGUUGUCCCUGGGGAUGGAUGGAGAUGUACCUUACUGAACUGGGUGGGAGUCAGUGAGGGUUGAGCACGCCAGAGCGCCUCUACAUGACCCGGGCACAAGAGGAAAAAGAACCAGCUUCACAAGGGUAGGCCUUGCCCAGCAACUGAACAAUGAGAUGUGAAAUCCGCCCUUGGAGGAAGAUGCACCCAGCUUGAGGUGCCUGGCUGCCCUGACCAGCAUGCUUAGGGAGGGCUGUGUGGGUUUGUUGGGUUUUAAUUCCUAACUUUAACUUCCAAAAUACAUCAAUCCAACACCGAUUCCCUUAGGAGCAUCGACCAUUGAAAGUCAACUGGAGACUCACCAAAUGCCCUCAUUAGCAGUGACCCAGGUGUGACCAAGAGUGUGUGCUGCAGGGGAGAUCGCACGCCCAGGCAACUGUGAGGGUUUCGGAGCUCUGUGCCAGGCCCUGGAAACGAGGAUUGAAUGGGACACUGAGCACAGAGGCUUCUCCCUAGAAGAAAGGCACGGGAUCCUUUCUAACAGAAAAGUUAACGACACAAAGCGUCUCAGCCAUAAGCUUCCGACACACUGGCCACCUACAGGGUUGAUUGCAGCAGACACCAGAGGAAAUGGCCACAGGAAGAAAUAUCAGCAGGACGCCAGCGGGACCAUUGGAAGCAGGGUCACUGAUCUGCAGCACCAACGACGUCCUGACACUGAGACACAGUGGCUUUCUGAGGUUCUGGAACCAUCUGUAUAGAGGUAUAAUCCCAAGCUCCCAGACCCUGCCACUUCUCCCACAGCCCACUCCCUAGAUCCUGAUCCCAAGCGUGACUCCCCCAGGUAGCCAUGCCUGUCACCAACUGUGACCUUAAGGACAACAGCUUCCAGCGCAGUGGUUCUCAACCUUCCUAAGGCUGUGACCCUUUAAUACAGCUCCUCGUGUUGUGGUGACCCCCAGCCAUAACAUUAUUUCAAUGCUGCUUCAUAACUGGAAUUUUGCUACUGUUAUGAAUCACGGUGUAAAUAUCUAACAUGCAGGAUGUUUCAUAUGUAACCCCUGUGAAAAGGUUGCUCAACCCCCAAAGGGGUCACGACCCACAGGUUGACAGCCGCUGUUCCAGUGGGUUCUGGUGUCCUUCUGGUGAAUUAUCAAGCCUAAGGUAUGCUGAGACCCCUGAGAUUGCCGGUGUGUCAUGGAGGAAACUGUCUCCUCUAAACAUACACCCAGAGGGUCCCUGCUCAGCACAGCAGCAAUGAAUCCACAUAGUAUGUGGAGCAGAGGGAUGGAGGGAGGAGGCAUGGGAUGACAGCGAAGGGUCUGAACAGAGCAGUCCCGGGGUGCUUGGCUCUGCGGUGAUCCUGGGGACGAGCCAGGCACUGAGUCCAUCCUAGCAGCCGCUGGGAAGCCGGUCAUCCCGCACUCACAGCACAAGAGCAAUAUUCAAGCCAGCUACUUUCAGGACAGAGAAAGGAAGCGUCCACAGACCUACAAUAGGAGCACGCUCCAACCAAACCACAGCUUCUCUCACAGCCCCCAUAGACCUGACCAAAAGGGCUAGCCCCCAGAGCCAUUGCACCCACCUCCCACACUUGUCUAUCUCAGACCCCUUCCUUGCUCAGCAAUUUGACACUUUGUAUGUUCCACCAGGCAUCCACAACCAUGGCUAAUGAACCCUCUAAGGCCCCAGGACCACUCCCCUGUCCAUGGUGUUUUGCCCUAGCUUAUGAAAGUGCUAGGUCAAGACCAGCCUGCAGUGAGAGGAGAUCUCAGGCUGAGUUGCCUCAGGUCUAGUCUCCACGGGAACAGCUGCAGGCCCACGGGAUAGUGGUGGGAACAGGGCGUCGAAAGGACUCAGCCGCUGCUGCAGAUACACAGCCACCCUGCCUGGCCCACAUGGACGGCCAGCUACAGCGGAGGAGAUCUGCUUCCUGUGACUGCUCUAUGGACUUCCACAACUCCAAUGGCUUCCCCUGGAUCCUCUCACAUGCUGGAGGUAAGAGGCCAGAGCCGGUGUUACUGAACUGAGGUCAAGUGUCUAGAGAGGUGAGUUGGCCCGCCUGGAGGCUCUUAGGACACUGCUUCCUGGCUCCUCCAGCUUCUAGAGGCUCCCACAGACCUCAGAACACACCUUUGCCCUUCUUCCAAUCCAGUAGCAGGAGCCUGGCUUCCCCCUUCCUUGACACCUCCAUCGGCGGCCUAGGCCACUCAGCCCAGUUGCGAUGGUUAAUCUUUCAUUUGGUUGGUUGGCUGUUUUGUUUAUUUGGUUUUGGUUUUUGGUUGGUUCUGUUUCUCCAUGUAGCCCUGGCUGUCC